AGACACGAGGGUGAUCUGACUGCAACAUCUGUCACCCCAUUGAUCUUGAGGGUUGAUUUGGUUGAUCUGGCCGGCAAGGUGGAUGUCUUCUUCCUCCAUCAUCACUCCAUAAGGGUCCUUCUCAAAACUGUGUGCUUGGUAGCGGAAGAUGACCUCCUUAGAGAGAAGAAGUGCGCCAUUCUUUAGCCAAAGGUGUAUGAUGGCUGUGAUCCUGUGCUAGAACUUCCAAACAAACACAAGCCAUUCUUCAGGGACAAGCCAUUCUUCCUCUGCCUCACUUUCCAAAUGCCAAUCUCCUUCAGGAAUUUG
rnacentral:snRNA from 1 species